UACGGAGGGUGCAAGCGUUAUCCGGAUUCACUGGGUUUAAAGGGUGCGUAGGUGGGCAGGUAAGUCAGUGGUGAAAUCUCCGGGCUUAACCCGGAAACUGCCAUUGAUACUAUCUGUCUUGAAUACCGUGGAGGUGAGCGGAAUAUGUCAUGUAGCGGUGAAAUGCUUAGAUAUUCGGUGGAACACCAGUGGCGAAGGCGACUCGCUGGACUGAUACUGACGCUGAGGUGCGAAAGCGUGGGGAGCAAACAGG
rnacentral:rRNA from 1 species